AGAGAUGGUGAGUGAAGGAGAGAUGGAGAGAGAUGGUAAGAGAUGGUGAGAGAUGGAGAGUGAAACAGAGAGAUGGUGAGAAACAGAGAUGGUGAGAGAAACAGAGCGAUGAUGGGAGAAACAGAGAGAUGGUGAGAGAUGGUGAGAGAAAAAGAGAGAUGGAGAGAGAAACAGAGAGAUGGAGAGAGAAACAGAGAGAUGGUGAGAGAAACAGAUAGAGAUGGAGAGAGAAACAGAGAGAUGGUGAGAGAAAAGAGAGAUGGUGAGAGAAGGAGGAAAAUGGUGAGAGAAGGUGAGAGAAAGAGAGAGAUGGUGAGAGAGAGAUGGUGAGAGAAACAGAGAGAUGGUGAGGGAAACAGAGAGAUGGUGAGAGAUGGUGAGGGAAACAGAGAGAUGGUGAGAGAUGGUGAGAGAAACAGAGAGAUGGUGAGAGAAACAGAGAUGGUGAGAGAAACAGAGAGAUGGUGAGAGAAGGAGGAAAAUGGUGAGAGAAGGUGAGAGAAAGAGAGAGAUGGUGAGAGAGAGAUGGUGAGAGAAAGAGAGAAAGUGAGAGAUAGUGAGAGAAGGUGAGAGAAAGAGAGAUUGUGAGAGAAAGAGAGAUGGUGAGAGAAACAGAGAGAUGGUGAGGGAAACAGAGAGAUGGUGAGAGAUGGUGAGAGAAACAGAGAGAUGGUGAGAGAUGGUGAGAGAAACUGAGAGAUGGUGAGAGAAACAGAGAGAUGGUGAGAGAAACAGAGAUGGUGAGAGAAACAGAGAGAUGUUGAGAGAAGGAGGAAAAUGGUGAGAGAAGGUGAGAGAAAGAGAGAGAUGGUGAGAGAUGGUGAGAGAGAUGGUGAGAGAAACAGAGAGAAAGUGAGAGAUAGUGAGAGAAACAGAGAGAUGGUGAGAGAUGGUGAGAGAAAAGAGAGAUGGUGAGAGAAACAGAGAGAUGGUGAGAGAAACAGAGAGAUGGUGAGAGAAAAGAGAGAUGGUGAGAGAAACAGAGAGAUGGUGAGAGAAAGAGAGAUGGUGAGGGAAACUGAGAGAUGGUGAGAGAAACAGAGAGAUAGUGAGAGAAAAGAGAGAUGGUGAGAGAUAGUGAGAGAAACAGAGAGAUGGUGAGAGAUGGUGAGAGAAACAGAGAGAUGGUGAGCUGGUGUGACAUUCUGAGAUCAGGAUGAAUGGGUAGCGGCUCCUGGUGACUGAGAUUGCUUUAUAGCAUUUCAUUUGGUUUGUUCCACUGCUUGGGUGAGCACAGCCCCGGUUAUGGAUUUAUAUUCUAAUGCGCUGGAGCAGGCGCUGAGAGAGGCCAAUGAGGCAGCUGCUGGAGCAGGGGGGACCCACGUGCAGGGGGCCUGAUCAAUAGGAUAGGC
rnacentral:lncRNA from 1 species